CUUUCUAAGGAGCCGUUGACCGCCGUGUGGUGGUCGCCCCCGCCCUAGUGCCCGUCCGUGGUGCUGGUGGGGUGAGCUCAUGGGUGGAAUAUCAACGAGCAAGUGGCCGCACUCCUCCUGUGCUUCCCGGGUUCCGAUCCGGCGGGUGUGGGGGUUGCCGGCCGGGUCGGGUCCUAGUACCUGUCCCAUCGUGGUGGGCCCUGUGGGGUUCCUCCGGUGUGGGUGGUGGAAGAGAACCGGUCCGGUGGUGGGUGUGGUCCGUGGCGCACUAUUGGGUCCUGAGACAACAGGCCCCGUCCCCUUUGGUGGGGGUGGGGGUGUUGUGUCGCAGGUUCCCGGCGUCCUGCCGGUGGUCGUGUCCCCUUCGUAGGGGGUGCUGCCACCAGUGUGCAGGGUGUGCGGGUUGUUGUUUGAGAACUGUAUAGUGGACGCGAGCAUCUUAAGAACAGGUGCCGCAGGCAGCCGGACGGCUUCCUCUUCCCGCAAGGGUCGGGGGUGUGUCUGGUGGGUUGUGGUGCCGUGUUCGUGAUUGAUCGCCGAGAUACCGCUGCCGUACCCCUAGGGGUGUGGUGGUGGUGGUAUCGGUGUGUUCUGUGAUCAUGUGGCAAGUUUUUAAGGGCGCACGGUGGAUGCCUUGGCAUCAGGAGCCGAUGAAGGACGCGGUAAUCUGCG
rnacentral:misc_RNA from 1 species